UACGUAGGGGGCAAGCGUUGUCCGGAUUUACUGGGCGUAAAGAGCGUGUAGGCGGCCACGCAGGUCCGUUGUGAAAACUGGAGGCUCAACCUCCAGCUGUCGACGGAAACCGUAUGGCUAGAGUCCGGAAGAGGAGAGUGGAAUUCCUGGUGUAGCGGUGAAAUGCGCAGAUAUCAGGAAGAACACCCGUGGCGAAGGCGGCUCUCUGGGACGGUACUGACGCUGAGACGCGAAAGCGUGGGGGAGCGAACAGG
rnacentral:rRNA from 1 species